UUUUAUUAUUUCAUAAUAUGCAGAAAAAUAUAAAAUAAGUAUUUAUUUUGCACAAGACGUAGAUCUUAACCUAAGUAUGUAUUUCUGUAAUAAUUUUGAAUCUUAAACAUUUUCUAAAUCUCUGGCCAAAAAAAAAAAAAAAUGAGAAUAAACUCAAAAAUCAAUAUUUAUAUCGAGCAAUAACUAAAAUGACAUAAAAAGGAAAAAAAUAUCGAAGAUAGAUAGAAUUGUCACGUGAACGUAAACUUCUCAUAACCAUAAUUAACUUUUAAAUUGCUAAAUCAUGAUAUAAAACCGAGCUGACAUAGUUUCAUUGUAACCAAAUCGUAGGCAUGAGAUUCUUCGGCUUAACAUUAAGUUUUUAUGCGAUAAAUAAUUUUUUGACCUAAAAUAUUUUUAUAAAUGGGAUCAGUUUAUUAGUAAACAAAUUAUGUAAUUAACAAAAAAGGUUUUUAAAAAAAUUGUUUAAGGACCAAAUAUAUUAAUUCGAUCAAUAAUGUAAAUUUUUUUUCAUACGAUAUUUCUUAAAUAGUUUUUAUAUAAAUUUACACGGUUAUCCUAGUACCUAUUGUAACCAGAACUAUAACCUUCAAAUUAUAUAAAUAAAUAAUUUUUGAAGUCGUUAUCAAUUCAGAAAUACAAUAAACGAAUUUUAGCCAGGAAAAUGAGAUAAUCUAAUUGACUUGGAAAUAAAGAGAAUCUUAGAGUAUAUAGUUUUCUUUAUUUUUGAUGAUUUUGUAAGAAUUACUAUACAAAAACAUUUAAAAUUUCUGUUUUGCCUGAUACCUUUCCACUUCGUAUUGUUUUACUCCAACCUUUGAUUUAUGACUUAUUGGACCUAAAUUUCUAGGACAUGGUUUACACCUCAUUAGAAAACCCCUAAAUUUCUUAGUUUGACCAUCUUUAGACCAUCUUCAAGAAUUUUUUUUGAAUAAAUAAAAUUAAUAGUUUAUUCUUGGUAAAUCUGAAAUCUAAUAAAAAUAGUAGAUUUUUCUGUAAAAUUUUCAUCAUCUCAGUUGUUCUUCUUAAGGGAGUAUUCGAAGAAAGUAGUUUAUACUUUCAUGAUGGAUGAAGCUAAUAACUAAAACUCAAUCAAAACUCAUUUCAAAUUGUCGUCAGUCAAACGUAGAGACAGUGCAUUUAUACUGAGAGCAUCUCUAUUGCUCAGGUUUUCCAUGAAUCAUAUAAUCUAUAUUAUAAUAGAAGAGUUUUUACUCUCUUCUAAGCAUGUCCACGUGUGCAGCUUUGUGGGCUUCACUUUAUUUUUAUUUUUGGUUUUGUCGUAAAAGAUUAUUUGAUUAUCCAACGAAACUGUGCGUUUUGGCUUCCAGUUGGUUACGGUUUUCUGUGUUUUUGUUCUUCGACUCUUCUUCAACCUCUCCGUAUCUUUCAACUUUCUCUGCGAACAUAUAUUUUAUCCUGUCAUCUCUUCACCUCCCUUAACGCUCAAUGAGGUUCAACAUAUCCUACUAAAUUCUCCCGAUUAAUGUGAUACACAUUAAAAGCAAUUACAUUCUCGACCUCUCUGUUUUCUUUCUUUUAUCAAACACAAAUUGACUCUUUGAGUUUCCAUGAAGCAGUGUGUGUUUCUCUACCUUUACAUAAGUCUUCCUUAUAUAUGCUUGAUCUUAAACAUUGGAGCCCUGUGAAUUGGUAAAUAGCAGAACGAUAAGAGCGGCUUGGUCUGCGCGUGAGCAGUAAGGUGAUUCUCACUGCCUUCUUUCAAUGACGACAAAGAGGAACUUUAAGGAAAUCUCCAUUGCUGCCGCUUCCUCACCGAUGAACAACGGUUACACAAGCCGGAAGCUAACGGAGGAAGCGUAUGCGCAGCAAAAGGAAGUUGAGGCUGAAGAAAACGCCGAGAAUAUCUCCAUGAGCGCCUUCUUCAAGCUAUCAUUGCAUGAGUUGGAAGAUGUUACUGAUGAUGUUGAUGAGAUUGAGAUCCAAAGCCAACUUGAUUACCAUGAUAUGGCCUGUAGUGAGAAAGAAGAGAAGUUGUUACUAGAUGCAUUCUUUGAUCGAUGAGCAUAUCCGAUCUGUUCAAUCUAACUUCCAGAAGAUCAAAAAGGAGAAAGACAAGCAGCGAAAUGAUGAUGCAUUAAGACACUAAGCAAGGAGCUAUCACAACCAAUAGAGACCAAAAUCUGCCGUUAAGGCCGUGUUCGGACGGGUCGAGUGAUACUGCUGUGGAGUCACGCAAGAAAUCAGGUAUGCAAAUGUCAAAACACAUAAACGUCAUGUGAGAACUAGACUUUACUUCACAUAUGUGUGUGUGAUUGAGAGUGAAACGGCGUUGAUGGAACAGGAAUCGCAUAUUCAUUCGCUGAUGAACGUACUUAGAUACUGCAACAUGGACGAAUCACUUCAAGGAGAGGAGAGUCUCAUCUCCCAAAACGCAUUGUUUAGUUUUUUUGCAACACUGGAGUGGGCUUUACUUGGAUUCUAUGUGUUUUUGGUCUCUUUCAUGAUGUAGGUCUGCUUCCUGAUAUCGUCCAAAUCAUUGUUUCACGUCUAGGGUUGCUUUCAUCCUCUAAUAAAAUUAAUGUAGUUGGGGUAUGCAAAGAUGUCUCGGCAAUUUCUGUUUGCGAGAACCUCAGUUAGAUCACAGAGCUUAUGAAAUAAGAGAGUUUGUAGAUUCAUCAAUUUCCAGUUAUAUUCUAGAAUAAGGAGGAGUGGGAUGAUGAUACUGGCUGUUUUAUGGAGCUCCAAACAGAUGAAGACCGGCGAUGGUGAUUGUAGAAGAUGACCGGAGACCUCGCCGUUCACCUGCAAUACACAAUUCGAGAAGCUGUUUCAUCUUCUCUUUCAUGAAGCCACGUGUGUGGUCUUUUUGUGUAACCUCACCUUAACCAAAAUCAAAGUAUGUAACCAACUCUCACAACUACAGUUUCCCACGAGCUUUAUUUUCCUAUUACUCCCAUUAAAAUAAAAAACAAACGCAGGCACACCAUUUACAGAACUUCUCCCGAGCGAGAGAAAGGCAACAACAUACCGUUCACUCACCUUUUCUUAUUAAUUCAGUUUACAUGCCCAACCACAACAGACCAAUACUUUUUUGUCUUUAUGGCAAAAACAUUACUUCAUUUCAUACAUAGUAAAUCCCAAAGUACUGAAUUUUUUUUUCUUUUUUUUUUUGAGAAAGGGCUUUUUAUACUGAAAAUUUUCCCACAAACUACUACUAUUAAUAAUUUUGAUAUGGCAAACUUUUUUUUGAUCAACUGAUAUGACAACUUCUGUUGUCCAUGUUACCAAAAUUUAGGAUUUUGUAAGCCAAUACAACAAAAGAGGAGAAAAUCUUUUUUCUUUUUCUGGGCAAAAGAGGAGAAAGUCUUAACCCAUAUUUGACAAUAUAUGCUACAAAGUAUAAAGAACCAUUAUAACAAGAAAAGAACAAAGACUUUGCUGAACUACUCAUUACUAUAACAAUAUUUAGCGGAGAAGUAUAUAUCAAAUAGAACAUAUAGAAAUUCACUAAACUCAACCUACGAAAAUAUUUAUUUAUCUGCAUUAUACUUGACUGUAUUAUCUCGCUAAACUCAAUGUGCCGUCACGGUUGAAUCAUUCUCUCUCUCUAUCGCACUCUACAUAGAACUGUUUGUCAUGAUGCAUUGAUCUCGGAAUUGGAUUGUUUAUCUCUACUACAGCGUCUUCUCCCCAGAACAUGCUAGCGCAACAUCUUACCCUACCAUAAAUCUAAUAAAAUUACAAAUAUUCACAUGCGCAAGAUCACUUCAUAUCACAACAUCUCCAAUUAUUUAUAUAAAGCAACAAUUCCGUUAACGACCCGAUACACACCUAAUACAUACAAUAAUAAAUAAAUAAAAGAGAGAUAUGCUCAAAAGAGAAAGUGUCCACAUAAGAUUUAAAAAUCAGCCAAUCAUAAUACAGUAGAAAAUACUGUUGUUCACCGUAUAUACGGCCAUACCAGCCGUGUGUUUAGAACACUUCUUAAAUGCAAAUUAUAUAAUUAACUUAACCUGAUAAAUAUAUUUUCUAAAAACAUAGUUUUUUUUUUAACGCUGGAUUGUAUUAUUAAGUCUUAUAGUCAAAAAGUUCUAAACAAUGAGAAUUAUCAAAACAAAAGAGUAGAAAAGGGAUACACCAAUAGAGAUCCAAAGUAAACUAACAACACAUCUUACGUAUGGAUAACUAAAGAUUUUCAUAUAAAAAUUUCAUAUUGCUUUUGGAGAAGCUGAAUCUCAAAAGAGAUAAUCUUCGUAUUAAUCCAAAAACACCACGCUUCAGAAUGAAUUGAGAACGAUUGUCACUCUCUUUUUAAUACUCCAGUAGGAGCCACUGAGAUAAGACAACUCUUUAUAUUGCUCUACUGAUAAUAAUAGAGUCAAAGAGAUUACCGUUCCAUAGAAUUUGAUGCUGCUUUUUAAAGUAACCAUAGUUUGCAGCAAGAAGUCCAUCACUGUCACAUGAAGAACCAUCAACGAUUGAAGCCGGUAAGAUCCGUCGCCACCAUCCGCAGUAGAUCUGUCAAUUAACUUUUCUAAACGGUUCAAUUGAACCGAAACUUUUAUCUCUCCAAAUUCAUUGGAAGAAGCAUACAAAAGAAUAAUAAAAAACUUUGCCAGAUUUAAAACAAAUUGACAAUCAAACAAACCAAGUAACGAUGAGUAAAUCAAAUCAAAGAAAGAGAAGCAGAACGAAUCAAACAAGCCGAUAACGGAGCUAUAGAAGCCUCCCGCCAUCGGCUUGAAACUAUAAAAAAAUCUUUUUUUUCUUUCUCGACGGCUAGGGUUUUCUUCCUAAAAAAAAAAAAAAAA